UACGUAGGGUGCAAGCGUUAAUCGGAAUUACUGGGCGUAAAGCGUGCGCAGGCGGUUGUGCAAGACAGAUGUGAAAUCCCCAGGCUUAACUUGGGAACUGCGUCUGAUACUGGGAGGCUUGAGUGCGGGAGAGGGAUGUGGAAUUCCAGGUGUAGCGGUGAAAUGCGUAGAUAUCUGGAGGAACACCGGUGGCGAAGGCGGCAUCCUGGACCGACACUGACACUGAGGAGCGAAAGCGUGGGGAGCAAACAGG
rnacentral:rRNA from 1 species